rnacentral:lncRNA from 1 species
UAGCUGCUUGUUUUAAGCCAAUUUCAAUAUUUGAUACAACACGUUAGUAGACAUCUAGAGUUACAGGAUAGUAGGUGCUCCUUUCUCCUUAUUUACGUACAUUCAUAUGUACAUUCAACUGUAUGAUUAUUAUGACAUCUAUUUGUUUAUUUAUGCUAUUUGUGAAGUAAAUUUCGUUUAAUUGUUUUAGCACGGUAAGAAUUGCAUUUGAUAACUGGGUUUUACAAGUUUUUUGGGUCUUAUUUAUUUAUUUAUUUUUAAAAUUUUUAAGUUCAGGGAUUUUGAACUUUCUCAAUCGUAGCUAGGAAGGUAACUUUGAAGGCUAUUGUGAUUAAAAGUUUCCUUAUUUUUCGAAGUCAAGUCUUUUUGCGUUUAUUCACCAGCCCUUUAAUAAAUAAUGUGUUUUAUGUAUGGAAGAACUGCAAUGGAAAAGCGUUGACAUGAUAUAUAUAUUAAAUGUUCUAUCGUCGUGCUUUAUUCCAAGUGUUCUGUUACCAAUCUUUUAUUUGUUCUUUCCACUUGAACUUCUAUCCAGUUUAAAAUUUUCAUCAAGACAUAAUUUGCAUUUUCUUGGCUAUGCACUAAAAUUCGUGAAUUUAUUGACCAAAAGAAUCCCCAUUUUCUGUUCUAGAUAUUAAAGCUUAUAACUUUAUUGGUCUAUUUAUAAUGUUAUACACAUUUUUCCUUAGUUUCUGCAAUUUUUGUAAUCGGGGAAAUUUUUGUUGAACUUCAUAUAAAACUUUUUAUUUAAUAUGUAUCGACAUUUCUGACUAAUGAUUAGCUUCUUUUAUUUUUUUGUGCAUUUACGUACGAGCAAUUUUUAGAGAAAAUGAAGCUUUUCGAGAUACAUUUGGAUCUGUUUCUUUUAUUGGUCGUCUCUUUCUCUUUUGUUGUGCUGGAAAAUGUCCUGCAUCAGUUGACGAUUUUAAUUUUACACAUUUUGGGCUAUGUCCUAUGAUGAGGAUAGGAGAAUUUUAGAAGUGGUUGCUAGGUAUUGUCCUUAGGACAAGAGCUUGCUGUUUGUGGAGAGUCAUUGAUGUUUGUUAAAUUGUGAAGUACUUACAAUUAUUGAGUUCUGCCUUUAGUUUGGAUAGAUAGGUUCAGUCUUAUAGAUCUAGGUAUAUAAAGUGACAUAUAUCUACAUUAAUGUGAGGACCUAAAAGCAAGGUCAAUCUUCCUAUGAACAUUGGAUCGAAACUUCAGAAAGCAUCCGAUGAAGGGAAUGCUUAUUGGACCUGUUACCACUCUGAAUCAGUAAUUUGUCAUAAACAACCAAUCCAGUCUCCAAAUCAAAUACAUUUUACUCUACAUCUUCUAUAAGAUUGUCAGCAAUUCUAAUGUAAUGCUUUCCCACUCUUAGACUAUGGGCCAUCUAUCGAAUUGCUUUAACCAUAAAGAAUAAGGUUGAAUAUCUAGAACUAGCUAGAAGUAGCAUUACUAAAAUUGACCGCGCAUAUUUAAACAAAAGUUUAUCUCUUAGAAAGUCUGAACAAGUGUUCUACUUGAACUGAGCUGUACUUUCCUUCCAGGUAAGAAAUUUUAGUAUUCGAAACACCACUUAAAGUCUUUAUUCAUCAUGGUCUUCCAAACCGAUUGAAACAUCCGCUUUUAUUUUCAUCUUUUUAAACUCUUCCUUGAUUAAUUGCCCAAGUUCAUAAUAGUUUUCAACUAUAAAAGGUAAUUAUAGGACAUCUUUUUAUUUGCCAAAUUAUAAAGAAUUGGUAGAACAGGGAGAUUACUUAUCUGCAUCAUGUGCAUCUAUUACUUUUGUUCACAUGCACAAAAGUGUUAACAAAGAAUACAGCUCUCUGCCAUGACAUGUUAUGAAAAAAAUGGGAAUCACUCUUCACAAUAGCUUUCAUACAAUUUUGUUCAGGCCUUUAAUUCAUCUAUUCACCAACUCCACACCCAUACGUGUUACUGAGACUUCAAUCACAUUAUGCUUUCAAUCACUGACAAUGAUGCAAAUGUAGAUACUAUUUCAGAUUCCAAGUAAGACAAGAAGCUUCAUUCAGUUUUCUGUGAGACAGUGAAGUAUGGUGUAGGCCUUGGUCGUAAUUUAUAUGACAUCAUAUUCUAUUUCUUACGUCCCAGCACUCUGAAGAAAAAAAAAUGAUAGUCAGUUUGUAAUCGGGAAAUUUUUUGAAUUUUACAUAUCACAAAACAUCAUAGGUAUUGUAUUGCUGCUGUUAUGAAUCUAUAUGCAUAUAUAAGUUAAUAUUUGUUCAUCGCUUCAAAUGAAGCUUAUGAGUAUGCAAUUUUCUCUCAAUUAUUUUUCCUCCACUUGAUGAAAUGACCAGUGAUGUCCCUUCAAGUACUCGUUGCUGGUGUCCAUGCUGCGAGUAACAAAUUAACAUCAUAUCUUAUUCUUUUAUGUUGUUUGCGGCUAUAACCUCAUUUCAAUCUCUUUUGGAAAAGUCUCCCAUUAUAGGUUCUUGUAUUUUCUACAACCCUUGGACUAGGCUAUGAACUUCUUUCACCAAUUUUAAAAAUAAUACAUAAUUAAACUGAAUUAUAUAACUCGUGGAACAACUUUCUAACCCCUUACCUUUUUCCUCGUAGCGGCUCUCAUCCAUCAUCUUGCAAGAAGUAUAGCGAGCAUUGCCUUCGGCUCUCUCUGAACAACCUAUACGCUUCCAAUUUAUAGAUCGACCACUAUUAAAAACAUUUUUGUCGAGCUUAAUCACCAUUAACGACACCGUCAAUGUUUGGACGUAAGGAUUUUUGCUUCUUUGCAUCUUCUACAGCUCAUUUCCUGUAAAUAUGAUUACUUAUAUUAUGUUCGUGCUUUUUGUCAUCCAACAUUACACCUUUUGUUGCAAUUUUCGAAUGUUAUUAAGUUCCAUUUGCC